CGAUUUAAGUGCCGCCGACCUGUUGCCUCACGUUGGCCAGAGGCGGGGAAGCAGCAAGGAAAAAUUCUGCAGCAGGGACUUGACUGGCCUCAGUCUUCAAGGUAGGAGGCUGGACCCAUGGGCUGGCGGCGGCGCUUGCCAUGACAUCUUGGUGGCAGGGGGAACUGUGGACCGGACGCCAGGAAGCUAGCCCCGGAGCUGCCCAGGCAGGGGGCCGCAGGCACCCCAAACUCCCUGGUCCUCAUUCCCAGACGAGAGUGAGGGGAAGCAGCGGCCUAGGCAUCUGGGAGGUCAGCCCAUCCCCACCCCGCUUUCCCCAGAGGCCCUGGCGUUGCCACCUGAACGCCAGUGAAUGGAGGGGAAUGAGCUGGGGGAGGCCCCAGGGAAGGCUGUAGAAGGAAAAGAUGCUGCCACCCUUUGCUCCCUUGGGGGACCAGACAGGAAAGCUGGUUGUGCUCUUGGCCAAAGCGCUGGUCAGGCCUCUUCUCAUCCCUCAGGCCCCUGGGGUCUGGGCAGCUCACGCCCAGCGCUUGGCAGAAUUGCAUCUGCCCGGUGCUGGUGUCCAGGGGACUGCUCUGGGCCUGCUUCUGCUGUGCCUGCUGCUCCCCUCCCCCCAGGGGCAUCCUCUGGCGCUGGGCAUUUGGACAUUUGGAGACCUAGAGUGGAAAGGUCGCCCCGCCCUAUCCCUGCCCCCACAGUCUCUCUCUUGCACCAUCACAGCCACCCUCCCUCCAGCCUCUACCUCUGCCCUCCCGAUGCUGCUGAGUGCCGCCUCCAGCAGUCUCUGUGCACCCAGAGCAUCCGGGGAAAUGGGGAUCUCCUUGAGCAGCCGGCAGGCAGUUCUCAGGCUCGCGUGGCAAAAGCAGGUGGAGGAGGGGCUUGGGAGGAGACAGCACUUGGGGAAACCGUCACCACUCUUCGUGGGGAGGCCACGCUGUGAAAUCUCCAUCUCUUUCUGUCUUUCAGGAGCCAGUGUUUGCUCAGGCCCCCAAGCCCAGGAUCACUCAGAGAACCUUCUCUGGAUGGGCUUGGAUUGGCCCCGGAGGACCCAGGUGUACUGCUACCUGGUGCACCAGGAUGGCCAGGCAUGGCCCCAAGGGGAGCCAGGAAAGACCCCUGUCCCACAGCUGCUCUGCCACUGGUUGCUCUUGGCCCCCACGCUCUGAAUUCCUGGACCUGAAAACCAAAGCAAUCUGGUCAGCCCCAGGGACAGAGUGGCCCAGUGUCACACCUCCUGCUUUCCUCAGCUGCCAAGCCGGAAGCCUGAUCCUGAUUGAAGAGCCCUGCCUGCCUCACCCCGGGGACUGAGGCCAGACGAAGCCACCAUGUGGCCCCUGCAGCUCCCCACAGGGUGUGAUGGCUUCCUUCCUUGUGCCUAGUGUCCUGGGAUCCCUGAUCCGGGUGGCGCCUCCCAUACCCCAACCCUUUCCACUGAGGUCCAGUUCGGAAGCCUGCCAGCCUGCUGACUCCAUCUACAGAUGUCUGGGGACAGCCUUCAACAGCCACCUGGGGCUGUCUGAGAGGAGAGGACGAGGGGCCUCCUUAGGGCUGAUCCACUGAUGUGCCCCUUUCAAGACCCCCCCCCCUCAAGUGACCUGCUCCCCAGCUGCAGUCUUGUGGCUCAGGUGGAGCUGCCUGGGGCCUGUGACAUCUCUUGCUCCCGCGGAGAGGGGUGGGGGAAGCCUCAGGGCUCCCCUCCCCUGCAGGAAGGUCCAUCCUGUGCCACCCCCUCCCCCAAGGUACAGGGUGUCCCAGAGCAGCCCCCAAGGGUCAGGGGAGGGGAUGCACGUCUUUCGCCCGUGUUCCUGCCACUGCUUUUCUGACCGGUUUGGCCUUGAGUACUUAGCGCGCUUCUUCCCCACCCCUUCCCUCUCCCGCACUGGGCCCUGGCUGCCUGACAGGCUCUCCAUGCACUUUAUUUAUUUGCAGUCUGAGUUCCAGGCGGCAGAGCUUCUACAGCAUCAGAGCCAGGGGCUGAAUAUGAUGACUGUCACUUUCCCGUGUGUGAUUAACUGCUGGUCAGCGCCGCCUGCUCAGAGGAAUGGGCUCGUUUGUGCUGUCAAAUCCUGUCACUCUAAGUUAAAAAGAAAACCCUCCCUAAGUUCAAUAAAAUGAAAUACAAGUGGAGGCCA
ensembl:lncRNA